rnacentral:rRNA from 1 species
AACGAACGCUGGCGGCAUGCCUAACACAUGCAAGUCGAACGGGAUCCUAGCUUGCUAGGUGAGAGUGGCGGACGGGUGAGUAACACGUGGGAAUCUGCCUUUUGGUUCGGGAUAACCGCGGGAAACUGCGGCUAAUACCGAAUGCCCUCGAGAGAGGAAAGAUUUAUCGCCAGAAGAGGAGCCCGCGUCCGAUUAGGUAGUUGGUGGGGUAAAGGCCUACCAAGCCGACGAUCGGUAGCUGGUCUGAGAGGAUGAUCAGCCACACUGGGACUGAGAUACGGCCCAGACUCCUACGGGAGGCAGCAGUGGGGAAUAUUGGACAAUGGGGGCGAACCCUGAUCCAGCAAUGCCGCGUGAGUGAUGAAGGCCUUAGGGUUGUAAAGCUCUUUUGCCAGGGAGAUGAUGACUGUACCUGGAGAAUAAGCCCCGGCUAACUUCGUGCCAGCAGCCGCGGUAAU